UACGUAGGGGGCAAGCGUUAUCCGGAAUUACUGGGUGUAAAGGGUGAGUAGGCGGCAUGGUAAGCCAGAUGUGAAAGCCUUGGGCUUAACCCGAGGAUUGCAUUUGGAACUAUCAAGCUAGAGUACAGGAGAGGAAAGCGGAAUUCCUAGUGUAGCGGUGAAAUGCGUAGAUAUUAGGAAGAACACCAGUGGCGAAGGCGACUUUCUGGACUGAAACUGACGCUGAGGCACGAAAGCGUGGGGAGCAAACAGG
rnacentral:rRNA from 1 species